AGAAUCAACGCUGGCGGCGUGCCUAACACAUGCAAGUCGAACGAGAAAGUGGAGCAAUCCAUGAGUAAAGUGGCGACCGGGUGAGUAACACGUGACUAACCUACCUUCGAGUGGGGAAUAACCUCGGGAAACCGGGGCUAAUACCGCAUAACAUCCACGGAUCAAAUGCGUAAGCAGCUUGAGGAGGGGGUCGCGGCUGAUUAGCUAGUUGGCGGGGUAAUGGCCCACCAAGGCAGUGAUCAGUA
rnacentral:rRNA from 1 species